rnacentral:tRNA from 1 species
GCCGUGGUGGCGGAACUGGCAGACGCGCGAGACUUAAAAUCUCGUGGUGGCAACACCGUGUGGGUUCGAUUCCCACCCGCGGCA